UGGGGGAUAUUGCACAAUGGGCGAAAGCCUGAUGCAGCGACGCCGCGUGGGGGAUGAAGGCCUUCGGGUUGUAAACUUCUUUUGCUCUGAACAAGGCAUGCCUUUGGGUUGUGUUGAGUGUAGGGGUUGAUUAGCGCCGUCUAACUACGUGCCAGCAGCCGCGGUAAUACGUAGGGCGCGAGCGUUGUCCGGAAUUAUUGGGCGUAAAGGGCUUGUAGGUUGCUGGUUGCGUCUGUCGUGAAAGCUCAUGGCUUAACUGUGGGUUUGCGGUGGGUACGGGCUGGCGUGAGUGCAGUAGGGGAGGCUGGAAUUCCUGGUGUAGCGGUGGAAUGCGCAGAUAUCAGGAGGAAUACCGGUGGCGAAGGCGGGUCUCUGGGCUGUUACUGACGCUGAGGAGCGAAAGCGUGGGGAGCGAACAGG
rnacentral:rRNA from 1 species